CUUUUCUCCUCUCCCUUUUUCCCUCCACCCCAUCUUCUGCCUAUCCACGCUGAGCUGUUCUUGGUCAUCAUUGCAGAGAACCUGGUUCAUCCACAAGGGAGACAGAAGGGGAAGCACUAGUGACAGAUUCUCUCAGUCCAAAGUCUCCGUGACAGCUGUUGUGUUGCCACAGUUUGUCGUUAUAUUGACACAGCCAUUUUCAUGAUCCCAGUUCCCUCCCACACAAGGAGUUCUUGUCUUCAAACCCAAGUCUCCAGCAUUGUAUGCAUGGCACUACAGAAAUCGGUGUAUUCUACAGGAUUUCCCCCCUCCUUGGCAUAUAUUGAAUGGCUCAAGAGAUGAUGUAGUCUACUGAAUGCAGACCAAGAGUGAAAUACAUUUUAAAAUUUUUCUUGAAUAAAACUUGAUUAUUUAGUAUUUUAAAUCA
rnacentral:lncRNA from 1 species